rnacentral:rRNA from 1 species
UGAUCCUGGCUCAGAUUGAACGCUGGCGGCAGGCCUAACACAUGCAAGUCGAACGGUAACAGAAAGUGCUUGCACUUUGCUGACGAGUGGCGGACGGGUGAGUAAUGCUUAGGAACUUGCCUUUUGGUGGGGGAUAACAGUUGGAAACGACUGCUAAUACCGCAUAAUGUCUUUGGACCAAAGGGGGCUUCGGCUCUCACCAAGAGAGAGGCCUAAGUGAGAUUAGUUAGUUGGUGGGGUAAAGGCUUACCAAGACGACGAUCUCUAGCUGUUCUGAGAGGAAGAUCAGCCACACUGGGACUGAGACACGGCCCAGACUCCUACGGGAGGCAGCAGUGGGGAAUAUUGCACAAUGGGGGGAACCCUGAUGCAGCCAUGCCGCGUGUGUGAAGAAGGCCUUCGGGUUGUAAAGCACUUUCAGUUGUGAGGAAAGGUUGGUAGUUAAUACCUGCCAGCUGUGACGUUAACAACAGAAGAAGCACCGGCUAACUCCGUGCCAGCAGCCGCGGUAAUACGGAGGGUGCGAGCGUUAAUCGGAAUUACUGGGCGUAAAGCGCACGCAGGCGGUUUGUUAAGCGAGAUGUGAAAGCCCCGGGCUCAACCUGGGAGGGUCAUUUCGAACUGGCAGACUAGAGUUUUGGAGAGGGGAGUGGAAUUCCAGGUGUAGCGGUGAAAUGCGUAGAUAUCUGGAGGAACAUCAGUGGCGAAGGCGACUCCCUGGUCAAAGACUGACGCUCAUGUGCGAAAGUGUGGGUAGCGAACAGGAUUAGAUACCCUGGUAGU